rnacentral:rRNA from 1 species
UACGAAGGGUGCAAACGUUGCUCGGAAUUAUUGGGCGUAAAGCGCACGUAGGCGGCUCAGCAAGUCGGAUGUGAAAGCCCACGGCUCAACCGUGGAAGUGCAUCCGAAACUGCUGAGCUUGAGUACUUAAGAGGAUCGCGGAAUUCCCGGUGUAGAGGUGAAAUUCGUAGAUAUCGGGAGGAACACCAGUGGCGAAGGCGGCGAUCUGGGAAGAUACUGACGCUGAGGUGACGAAAGCGGUGGGAGCAAACAGG